UACGAAGGGGGCUAGCGUUGCUCGGAAUCACUGGGCGUAAAGCGCACGUAGGCGGCUUGUUAAGUCAGGGGUGAAAUCCUGGAGCUCAACUCCAGAACUGCCUUUGAUACUGGCGAUCUUGAGUCCGGGAGAGGUGAGUGGAACUGCGAGUGUAGAGGUGAAAUUCGUAGAUAUUCGCAAGAACACCAGUGGCGAAGGCGGCUCACUGGCCCGGUACUGACGCUGAGGUGCGAAAGCGUGGGGAGCGAACAGG
rnacentral:rRNA from 1 species